CCAUUUACUAAGCCUAAAUUUCUCUCUCUUCAUUUCUCUUCUCACUCUCUCUUCACUCUCUCUACCGUCGCCCCUCCACCGUCGUCGAAAAUCUCUACCGCCGGCAGACCACCUCCGAACACUUCAAAUUCACAACAUGUAAUCUCUGCAACUUCAUCUUUCCAUAUCUCCAAAACCAAAUCCUUCAAAACCCCCCUCAAACUCCUUGAAUCUCAUAUCUAGGAAACUUUUUCGUCACUUUUUUGCCCAAAUUCUUGAAGCUCCAACCACUACCACCCCACAAUACCUACAUCAACAGAUAGAGCUCCUCAAGACCUAGCUAUUGAUGCCAAUUUCACCUGAAAAUCCGGCGACCAAAAUCCGACCAAAUUCCGGCGACUUCCCCGAACACCCUCGCUUGGCACACAACUAUUGUAUUGGCCACUUGAAUUGUAAAAUGGUAAUAAUCCUAUUCUUUUUGUAUUGCUGAUUUUUUAUUUUUAUUUUUAUUUUUUCAGAUUUUACUUUGUCUCUUAUUAAUUAUUUUAGCAUUAGUUUUUGAUGUUUGAAAUUCUAAUUUUUUUUGUUUUUGCACUUAUUGAAGUAGUAGAAUAGUUUUGUAUUAAUGAAAAUGAUGUAGUGAAAGAAUACUUGAGAGUAUAGGGUACUUGUUUGGAGGCUUAUUUACUGCUUCAAGACUUUUUUGAGUACAAAACUCAAAAGUCUUUUGUUUGGUAAGAAAAUAUAGACUUUUGGACAGUUUUUGAACAAAAGUCUAUCUUUGAAUAGUGAAGAGCAGAUUUUAGUUAAAAUACUCUUUUGGAUAAGAUUGAACAAAAAAGUCUUGCCUUUUGAAUUUAAGAGCAGAUUUUUGUGGCAAAAUCUGUCAAAAAAGAUUGAUUUUUAAUUUUGAAAAGUUGGUUGUUUCUCAUAUAAAUAGGAAGACAUCUUUUACACAUGGUGGUGGGAAAAAACAUUUUUUUUACACAUCUGAUAGAGUAAAAUAUCAGUUGAACACUCAUAGUAAGUUGCAAAACCUGAGAGCUGUUUGAGUGUUAGCCAAUCUUGUGGAAAGACUUAGCGAAGAUACUUAAAGUGCUUGAAGCCAAUCUUGUUUCUUUCUUUCUCAAGCCAUUGAAUUUUUGGUCAAGUUUUUGGUUUACUUUGGUUUAAAUUGUUGUUGACAUUGUUGUUGCGUUGCUGUUGUUACUGACUUUAUUUGUUAAAAUUCAUUUCGUUCUCGGUUGAUAUCUUAUUUUCUGCUGACCAGGUAAUUCCCUCAACUAAUGUACUACUUUUGGGUCAAGAAUGAAUGAAAAUGAGAUGAUUCAAGCUUCCUUAUUUUAAGCUAUGCCUUGAAUAACAUUCAGUUCAGGUACUAUGAUUGACGUAUGAAUGAGCAUUUGUAAUAUAAUAGCUAUCAAUAUGGCAAAGCUUUCACUCUGUUUUUUUUUUUGCCAAGUUGUUAGAUUCGGAAACACAAGUUAUGUUGUUGUUUAAACGGUAAAUUUCAUGGUGGGCAUAUUUUAGUUUAUUUUUUUCAAUUUAAAACUAUUUCCACUCUCCUUUCAAAUGUUGAAAAAAUAUUUUUCCUGUCAUUGGAUUAAUUGUUGAUGAAAGUGUGAAAAAUAUGUAGGUUUAAAUAAUGAGUAUGCUAGUAAGGUUUAGAAAGAAUAUUUUUUUUUGUGAGUGCAUGAAGUGUGCUGGUGAAGUUUUAAUGGAGAGAAUUAGUGGAAAGAAUAUUUUGGGUAGCUUAUGUCGGUUACAAUCCGUACAGUUAGCUCGUUAGUGAAAUUGUCCUCUGUUAAGUAGUAUCUUUAUUUGACAUUUAAUCUUUUGAAAUUCAUUGAAUAAUUACAUGAUGUGAAUCGGGAUGUUUAGUUAUUUUGUUCUUAAGAAAACUGGAUAUGUUGUGAUUUUUUAAUGAUAAAUGGAACAUGGUUCAUCAACAAAUAAAAAUAUUGUUUGAUUUGUUAGUGUUUUGUUAAAUCUUGAAAUAAGAUAUGUUGUCUUAGAUAAUCUGAUAUGUGGGAAAAAUUGAAUAUUGAGAACGAGACUUACUAAUUGCUUAAAUUGAAAUUUUAUUUGAGCAAGUUAACUAGGUAGUAGGAUUAAGUAAAUCAAAGUUUGAAUUAAUUAAUUAUUCUUUUCUAAAUCAUAACAAAGCUGGCCCAUAUCUUUUAACAAGCAGUCCCUUUUUACUUCAAUAAGAUAGCUUUUUUCUUUAAAAUAAUAAAAGUUGGCCCAACAUUAUUUUUCUAUAUUUCCCCCUACUAAUUAGUUCCAAAAUCAGAUUUUUUUACUAGUUUAAUAGCUUAAUAACCUUUAAUGAGUUAAUUAAAUACAAUGCAAUUUUAGGACGCUCUAAAUAUAGACAAUGUGUUCACACGAUCUUUGAUCGUUUUUUUAAAAUAAAAAUGGUCAUGUGUGCAUCACCUCUCCUUGACUCUAAAAUAAUAAUUCGUGUUUUCUAGUUAAUCGUAUUUGAUCAUGUGUUCAUAUCCGUUCCUAGGUCAAAUGCGCAUAAUCAAAUAAGGACCAUGUGUGCUUACACAUUCCUCGGUCAAAAUAAAUUAUUAAGCAGUGCUAGACAAUAGUAUUUUUUAAGGCAAAUAAAUCACAAUUUAUCAAGAAUUAAUUCAUGCCAAGUUCAAGUUAAUAAAGCGACCGUGCUAGAACCACGGGACUCGGAGAAUGUCUUACACCUUCUCCAUGGUUAACAGAAUUCCUUAUCCGAACUUUAUUUUCGCAGACCAACAUGAAAAGAAUUAAAUCUUCCUUUGAAUAAGGAUUCAAAUAAAAGGUGACUUGGGACACCGACAAAAAUCAAUUCCAAGUGGCUACUCUGUAAAUAAAUUAAUUCCUAUUCAAGUUUGUCACUUAAAUUGGAAAAACCCUUUAACCCACAAUCCAUAAUAUUACAUUAUCUUUUGGGGAUAAAAAGAGGUGUGACAGCUCUGACGACUCUGUUGGGGACCUAUAAGAAUUCGAUCUUGUACAUUGAUUAAUUUUGGAUUUUAUUAUUUUUGGAUAUUACUGUGUAUGUGAGCCUAAUGUACUAAUUGUCGCUCAUUUACUUUUUUGAUAUUGUUUUAACUGUAUAUAUAAAUUGUCUUCUCUCGCACCCAAUCUGACUCUUUUGAUAUGUAAUAGUGUUGUAUGUGCUGACUAGCUCCACAAAAUUUUCUGUCUAAGACAAAGACAGUGUGCAGACCUGCUCCUGGUGAAGGAUUUAGUCACAUAUGUUUAGGUGGGGAGAACCACCAGUAAAGCCGGAACCGUUCUACGGCCAGUACGCUGACGCUCCUUGGCUCGAG
rnacentral:lncRNA from 1 species